GCGAUAGCUCAGUGGCAGAGCACAUCCUUUGCAUGCAGAAGGUUUCAGGUUCAAUCCCUGGGAUCUCCA